AAAUGCAGGUGCAGCUGGACAUUCUUCUGAGCUAAAAGCAUAUUUAUUUAGUCCCGUCAAACGGAUUAUUACUUUUUGCUCUAGCUAAUAUAAAGGUCGAAUGGACUAUUUACGCUGACUGAUGCAGGAUUAACAGAUUUUAUUCGCGUAAAAUUUGUAAACUCGAUCUCAAAUCAAGUAAGACUACCCGCUGAACUUAA
rnacentral:misc_RNA from 1 species